AUUGAACGCUGGCGGCAGGCCUAACACAUGCAAGUCGAGCGGAUGAAGGGAGCUUGCUCCUGGAUUCAGCGGCGGACGGGUGAGUAAUGCCUAGGAAUCUGCCUGGUAGUGGGGGAUAACGUCCGGAAACGGGCGCUAAUACCGCAUACGUCCUGAGGGAGAAAGUGGGGGAUCUUCGGACCUCACGCUAUCAGAUGAGCCUAGGUCGGAUUAGCUAGUUGGUGGGGUAAAGGCCUACCAAGGCGACGAUCCGUAACUGGACUGAGAGGAUGAUCAGUCACACUGGAACUGAGACACGGUCCAGACUCCUACGGGAGGCAGCAGUGGGGAAUAUUGGACAAUGGGCGAAAGCCUGGUCCAGCCAUGCCGCGUGUGUGAAGAAGGUCUUCGGAUUGUAAAGCACUUUAAGUUGGGAGGAAGGGCAGUAAGUUAAUACCUUGCUGUUUUGACGGUACCAACAGAAUAAGCACCGGCUAACUUCGUG
rnacentral:rRNA from 1 species